GCAUGAUGGCCAAAGUAACCAAUGGCGAGGUGACAUUUGACAAACGAGCACUCGGGCGUAACCAUUUAGGUAAUUAUGAGCUCCCAACUUUUUAAGCCCUCAUAAUUGCUAGAGGUGUGGAUGAGUCGUUUCCGAAAAGCAGCAUGUCGCUUCCAAUGAUUAAAAAAAAUUAAUAUUAUCAACCAUCAUAUGAUGUACUUAUUAGUAGUGGCAGAGGUCGGAUAUGAUCUUUUGGAUUAACUUUCCACACCCAACGUGAAAAAUACCACUUCGGAUUUGGAAAGUGGGGGGCAUGUGUUGGUGCAGCUAACCGACCUCUGGACAUAUGGCAUCAUCAGAAUGCUAGUAUAUCUUUGAUUUGAGAAUUAUAUUGACUAAGUCUAUUUUAGGAUUAGAUCAUUAAAAUGCCGAUCUGAUUUAACCUUCAGGUUGGCUACAUACCGAUUUGAAUUGAUCUAGAUUGACUCUCGAUGGAACAUUAUAUUCAGCUCAAUCUUCUAUCGAUCUACAGAUAAGGACAUCGGU
rnacentral:lncRNA from 1 species